rnacentral:rRNA from 1 species
UGCAUGUCUAAGUACAUGCCGUAUUAAGGCGAAACCGCGAAUGGCUCAUUAAAUCAGUUAUGGUUCCUUGGAUCGUACCUUACUACUUGGAUAACUGUGGCAAUUCUAGAGCUAAUACAUGCAGCAGAGCUCCGACCCUCAGGGGACGAGCGCUUUUAUUAGACCAAAACCAAUCGGACCUCGUGUCCGUCUCUUGUGGUGACUCUGUAUAACUUUGGGCUGAUCGCACGGGCCCGUCCCGGCGACGUAUCUUUCAAGUGUCUGCCUUAUCAACUUUCGAUGGUAGGUUACGCGCCUACCAUGGUCGUAACGGGUAACGGGGAAUCAGGGUUCGAUUCCGGAGAGGGAGCCUGAGAAACGGCUACCACAUCCAAGGAAGGCAGCAGGCGCGCAAAUUACCCACUCCCAGAACGGGGAGGUAGUGACGAAAAAUAACAAUACGGGACUCUUUUGAGACCCCGUAAUUGGAAUGAGUACACUUUAAAUCCUUUAACGAGGAUCCAUUAGAGGGCAAGUCUGGUGCCAGCAGCCGCGGUAAUUCCAGCUCUAAUAGCGUAUAUUAAAGUUGUUGCGGUUAAAAAGCUCGUAGUUGGAUCUCAGUUCCAGACGGGUGGUCCUCCUUACGGUGGCUACUGCCUGUUCUGAACAGCCAGCCGGUUUCUCUUGAUGAUCUUCACCGGUUGUCUUGGGUGACCGGCAAGUUUACUUUGAAAAAAUUAGAGUGCUCAAAGCAGGCGUGACGCCUGAAUAAUGGUGCAUGGAAUAAUGGAAUAGGACCUCGGUUCUAUUUUGUUGGUUUUCGGAACACGAGGUAAUGAUUAAGAGGGACAGACGGGGGCAUUCGUAUUGCGACGCUAGAGGUGAAAUUCUUGGACCGUCGCAAGACGAACU